rnacentral:tRNA from 4 species
UACUCUAAUAGUUUAUAAAAACAUUG